GGGCGAUUAGCUCAGUUGGUUAGAGCGCUUCCUUGACAUGGAAGAGGUCAGAGGUUCGAGUCCUCUAUCGCCCA
rnacentral:tRNA from 1 species